rnacentral:misc_RNA from 1 species
AAUAAGCGGAGGAAAAGAAACCCAACAGGGAUUGCUUCAGUAACGGCGAGUGAAGCGGCAAGAGCUCAAAUUUGAAAGCUGGCCCCCUCGGGGUCCGCAUUGUAAUUUGCAGAGGAUGCUUCGGGAGUGGCCCCCAUCUAAGUGCUCUGGAACGGGCCGUCAUAGAGGGUGAGAAUCCCGUAUGGGAUGGGGUGUCCGCGACCAUGUGAAGCUCCUUCGACGAGUCGAGUUGUUUGGGAAUGCAGCUCUAAAUGGGUGGUAAAUUUCAUCUAAAGCUAAAUAUUGGCCGGAGACCGAUAGCGCACAAGUAGAGUGAUCGAAAGAUGAAAAGCACUUUGAAAAGAGAGUUAAAAAGCACGUGAAAUUGUUGAAAGGGAAGCGCUUGCGACCAGACUCGCCUACGGGGUUCAGCCGGUAUUCGUACCGGUGUACUUCCCCGUGGGCGGGCCAGCGUCGGUUUGGGCGGCCGGUCAAAGGCCCUCGGAAUGUAACGCCUCUCGGGGCGUCUUAUAGCCGAGGGUGCCAUGCGGCCAGCCCGGACCGAGGAACGCGCUUCGGCACGGACGCUGGCAUAAUGGUCGUAAGCGACCCGUCUUGAAACACGGACCAAGGAGUCUAACAUCUACGCGAGUGUUCGGGUGUCAAACCCGUGCGCGCAGUGAAAGCGAACGGAGGUGGGAACCCUCACGGGUGCACCAUCGACCGAUCCUGAUGUCUUCGGAUGGAUUUGAGUAAGAGCGUAGCUGUUGGGACCCGAAAGAUGGUGAACUAUGCCUGAAUAGGGCGAAGCCAGAGGAAACUCUGGUGGAGGCUCGCAGCGGUUCUGACGUGCAAAUCGAUCGUCAAAUUUGGGUAUAGGGGCGAAAGACUAAUCGAACC